rnacentral:rRNA from 1 species
UACGGGGGGGGCAAGCGUUGUUCGGAAUUACUGGGCGUAAAGGGCUCGUAGGUGGCCAACUAAGUCAGACGUGAAAUCCCUCAGCUUAACUGGGGAACUGCGUCUGAUACUGGAUGGCUUGAGUCUGGGAGAGGGAUGCGGAAUUCCAGGUGUAGCGGUGAAAUGCGUAGAUAUCUGGAGGAACACCGGUGGCGAAGGCGGCAUCCUGGACCAACACUGACACUGAUGAGCGAAAGCCAGGGGAGCAAACGGG